ACUAAGUUCGGCAUCAAUAUGGUGACCUCCCGGGAGCGGGGGACCACUAGGUUGCCUAAGGAGGGGUGAACCGGCCCAGGUCAGAAAUGGAGCAGGUCGAAACUCCUGUGCUGAUCAGUAGU
ensembl:misc_RNA Metazoa_SRP Metazoan signal recognition particle RNA